rnacentral:tRNA from 1 species
GACAGCGUGUCCGAGUGGUUAAGGAGGUGGACUUGAAAUCCACUAGGCUCUGCCUGCGCAGGUUCGAACCCUGCCACUGUCG